UACAGAGGUGGCAAGCGUUGUUCGGAAUUACUGGGCGUAAAGGGCUCGUAGGCGGCCAACUAAGUCAGACGUGAAAUCCCUCGGCUUAACCGGGGAACUGCGUCUGAUACUGGAUGGCUGGAGUUUGGGAGAGGGAUGCGGAAUUCCAGGUGUAGCGGUGAAAUGCGUAGAUAUCCGGAGGAACACCGGUGGCGAAGGCGGCUUCCUGGACCGAUUACUGACGCUGAGGCGCGAAAGCUAGGGGAGCAAACGGG
rnacentral:rRNA from 1 species